AGGGCACAGGGCGGAUGCCUUGGCACUGAGAGCCGACGAAAGACGCGAUAAGCUGCGAAAAGCUGCGGAGAGGAGCAAAUAUCCAAAGACCCGCAGGUAUCUGAAUGGGGAAACCUACAUGAGCAAACCUCAUGUACCACAAAGUGAAUCCAUAGCUUUGUGGAGGGAACCCGGUGAACUGAAACAUCUAAGUAGCCGGAGGAAAAGAAAGAAAAAUCGAUUUCCAGAGUAGCGGCGAGCGAAAUGGAAAGAGCCCAAACCGCUGUGCGUGCAUGGCGGGGUUCGGACUGCACAAGCGACUCCAAAGACUAACCAAACGGUCCUGGAAAGACCGGCCAGAGAGGGUGAAAGCCCCGUAGGUGAAAGAAUGAGGAGAGCGGCAGUAUCCAGAGUACCACGAGACACGAGAAACCUUGUGGGAAGAAGCGGGGACCACCCCGCAAGGCUAAAUACUCCUUAGUGACCGAUAGAGCAUAGUACUGUGAAGGAAAGGUGAAAAGAACCCCGGGAGGGGAGUGAAAGAGAACCUGAAACCCUGUGUCUUCAAACUGUGGAAGUGCCAGACAGAUGCUUGCAUUUGUGGCACAACCGCGUACUUUUUGUAGAACGGUCCGGCGAGCUGCGGAGACUGGCAAGGUUAAGGACUAAAGGUCCGGAGCCGAAGAGAAAUCAAGUCUUAACAGGGCAUAUGCCAUCCAAAAGGUGGUAAGUCAGUUUACGCAGGCCCGAAACCGGGUGAUCUAUCCAUGUCCAGGAUGAAGUUGCCGUAAAAGGCAGUGGAGGUCCGAACGCACAUCCGUUGAAAAGGGUGGCGAUGAGGUGUGGAUAGGGGAGAAAUUCCAAUCGAACUCGGAGAUAGCUGGUUCUCCCCGAAAUAGCUUUAGGGCUAGCCUCAUGGGAGCCAAGCGGAGGUAGAGCACUGAAUACCCGAGGGGGCGUCAAAGCUUACCAAAGGUUAUCAAACUCCGAAUGCCGCAGUGGUGCUCCAUGGGAGUCAGACCGCACGAGAUAAGUCGGGUGGUCAAAAGGGAAAAAGCCCAGACCUACAGCUAAGGUCCCAAAGUGUGUGUUAAGUGGAAAAGGAUGUGGGAUUUCGAAGACAACUAGGAUGUUGGCUUAGAAGCAGCCAUACAUUUAAAGAGUGCGUAACAGCUCACUAGUCGAGAAAACCUGCGCCGAAAAUAAACGGGGCUAAAACAUACCACCGAAGCUACGGAUUUCCUAUGGAAGUAGGAAGUGGUAGAGGAGCAUAGUGCAGUAGGAAGAAGUCAAAGCGAAAGCGAUGAUGGACGAGGCAGUAGAGAGAAUGCCGGAAUGAGUAGCGAGAUAGAAGAAAGAAACUUCUAGGCCGAAUAUCUAAGGAUUCCUGGGUAAAGCUAAACUUCCCAGGGUAAGUCGGGACCUAAGGCGAGGACGAAAGUCGUAGUCGAUGGAUAACUGGUAGAGAUUCCAGUACUACAAAUAAUCAGAACUGUGGGGACGCAGGAGGAUAAGUAAACCGGGGAGAGGAAAGACCCGGUCAAGCAUAAAGGCAUGGUAAAUAGGAAAAACCGUUUAUCUAAGCUGAAAUGUGAAGAGGACUGAAAAAGAGUAAGGAAGUUACUGAAUCCACACUGUCGAGAAAAGCCGCUAUAGCGUUAUUUGUACCCGUACCGUAAACCGACACAGGUAGAUGAGGAGAAAAUCCACAGGCUGACGGGAGAAGUGUUGUUAAGGAACUCGGCAAAAUGACCCCGUAACUUAGGGAAAAGGGGAACCAACGAGAGUUGGUCGCAGAAAAGAGGCUCAAGCGACUGUUUAGCAAAAACACAGGUCUCUGCGAAACCGAGAGGUGAAGUAUAGGGGCUGACACCUGCCCGGUGCUGGAAGGUUAAAAGGAGAGGUAAGGCGCAAGCUGAAGCUUUGAAUUCAAGCCCCAGUAAACGGCGGCCGUAACUAUAACGGUCCUAAGGUAGCGAAAUUCCUUGUCAGGUAAGUUCUGACCCGCACGAAAGGCGUAACGAUUUGGGCGCUGUCUCAGCUGUAGACUCGGUGAAGUCUUAGUACCUGUGAAGAUGCAGGUUACCCGCGACUAGACGGAAAGACCCCAUGGAGCUUUACUGUAGCUUGAUAUUGGAUUUUGAUGCAUAAUGUACAGGAUAGGUAGGAGACGAAGAGACGGAUACGCCAGUAUUCGAGGAGUCGCUGUUGGGAUACUACCCUUUGUGUAUUGAAGUUCUAACCGGAUGGCGUGGAACCGCCAACGGGACAGUGUCAGGUGGGCAGUUUGACUGGGGCGGUCGCCUCCCAAAGAGUAACGGAGGCGCCCAAAGGUACGCUCAGGCUGGAUGGAAACCAGCUGAAGAGUGCAAAUGCAGAAGCGUGCCUGACUGUGAGACAGACAAGUCGAACAGGGACGAAAGUCGGGAUUAGUGAUCCGGCGGUGCCGAAUGGAAGGGCCGUCGCUCAACGGAUAAAAGCUACCCUGGGGAUAACAGGCUGAUCUCGCCCAAGAGUUCACAUCGACGGCGAGGUUUGGCACCUCGAUGUCGGCUCAUCGCAUCCUGGAGCUGAAUUCGGUUCCAAGGGUUGGGCUGUCCGCCCAUUAAAGCGGUACGCGAGCUGGGUUCAGAACGUCGUGAGACAGUUCGGUC
rnacentral:rRNA from 1 species